UUGAAAGGGAAACGAUUGAAGUCAGUCGUGCUGGCGCGAAAUCAACCUUCUCGUCUUGAGAUCACAUGGCGUGGCGAGCCUCAAAACCGUCACGAAGCGUGAACUCUUUGUGAAAUGGAGCACUUUCGUGUCCGCUGGUUAACAUCAAUUUCGAACGUCAUAAAAAGGCUGGAGGGAUGUGGCUCCUUCGGGAGUGUUAUAACCUUUAGCGGAAUGUGGUGUUCGGGAUUGAGGAUUGCAACGAAUACCUUUAGGGCUGUUCCACCUGGCUUCUCUUUGGUAUCCUGGUGACGACAGCUUGCUGACGUCGUUAGGAUUCGCCUUUGAACAGGUUAGAGUGUGAGCAAAUUCGUUAAGGAUGUUGACGUA
rnacentral:rRNA from 1 species